rnacentral:rRNA from 1 species
GCACGAGAAAGGGGCUUCGGCCCUGAGUAAAGUGGCGCACGGGUGAGUAACACGUGAAUCAUCUACCUCCGAGUGGGGAAUAACCUAGAGAAAUCUGGGCUAAUACCGCAUAACACUUACGAGUCAAAGCAGCAAUGCGCUUGGAGAGGAGUUCGCGGCAGAUUAGUUAGUUGGCGGGGUAAUGGCCCACCAAGACGAUGAUCUGUAUCCGGCCUGAGAGGGCGCACGGACACACUGGAACUGAAACACGGUCCAGACUCCUACGGGAGGCAGCAGUGGGGAAUUUUGCGCAAUGGGGGAAACCCUGACGCAGCAACGCCGCGUGGAGGAUGAAAUCCCUNUGGGAUGUAAACUCCUUUCGAUCGGGAAGAUUAUGACGGUACCGAGAGAAGAAGCCCCGGCUAACUUCGUG